AUGAACGCUGGCGGCGUGCCUAAUACAUGCAAGUCGAGCGAACGGACGAGAAGCUUGCUUCUCUGAUGUUAGCGGCGGACGGGUGAGUAACACGUGGAUAACCUACCUAUAAGACUGGGAUAACUUCGGGAAACCGUAGCUAAUACCGGAUAAUAUUUUGAACCGCAUGGUUCAAAAGUGAAAGACGGUCUUGCUGUCACUUAUAGAUGGAUCCGCGCUGCAUUAGCUAGUUGGUAAGGUAACGGCUUACCAAGGCAACGAUGCAUAGCCGACCUGAGAGGGUGAACGGCCACACUGGAACUGAGAAACGGUCCAGACUCCUACGGGAGGCAGCAGUAGGGAAUCUUCCGCAAUGGGGGAAAGCCUGACGGAGCAAAGCCGCGUGAGUGAUGAAGGUCUUCGGAUCGUAAAACUCUGUUAUUAGGGAAGAACAUAUGUGUAAGUAACUGUGCACAUCUUGACGGUACCUAAUCAGAAAGCCACGGCUAGCUACGUG
rnacentral:rRNA from 1 species